UACGGGGGGAGCAAGCGUUGUUCGGAUUUACUGGGCGUAAAGGGCGCGUAGGCGGUCAGCACAAGUCAGUUGUGAAAUCUCCGGGCUUAACUCGGAAAGGUCAACUGAUACUGUGCGACUAGAGUGCAGAAGGGGCAACUGGAAUUCUCGGUGUAGCGGUGAAAUGCGUAGAUAUCGAGGAGGAACACCUGCGGCGAAGGCGGGUUGCUGGGCUGACACUGACGCUGAUGCGCGAAAGCCAGGGGAGCGAACGGG
rnacentral:rRNA from 1 species